GAAAGGGCGCACGGUGAAUGCCUUGGCACUAGGAGCCGAUGAAGGACGGGACUAACACCGAUAUGCUUCGGGGAGCUGUAAGUGAGCUUUGAUCCGGAGAUUUCCGAAUGGGGAAACCCACUGUUCGUAAUGGAACAGUAUCUUUAUCUGAAUACAUAGGAUAUUGAAGGCAGACCCGGGGAACUGAAACAUCUAAGUACCCGGAGGAAGAGAAAGCAAAUGCGAUUUCCUGAGUAGCGGCGAGCGAAACGGAAUUAGCCCAAACCAAGAGGCUUGCCUCUUGGGGUUGUAGGACACUCUAUACGGAGUUACAAAGGAACGAAGUAAAUGAAGCGACCUGGAAAGGUCCGUCGAAGAAGGUAACAACCCUGUAGUUGAAACUUCGUUCCCUCUUGAGUGGAUCCUGAGUACGGCGGAACACGUGAAAUUCCGUCGGAAGCUGGGAGGACCAUCUCCCAAGGCUAAAUACUACCUAGUGACCGAUAGUGAACCAGUACCGUGAGGGAAAGGUGAAAAGCACCCCGGAAGGGGAGUGAAAGAGAUCCUGAAACCGUGUGCCUACAAGUAGUCAGAGCCCGUUAACGGGUGAUGGCGUGCCUUUUGUAGAAUGAACCGGCGAGUUACGAUCCCAUGCAAGGUUAAGCUGAUAAGGCGGAGCCGUAGCGAAAGCGAGUCUGAAUAGGGCGUUUAGUAUGUGGUUGUAGACCCGAAACCAGGUGAUCUACCAUGUCCAGGGUGAAGUUCAGGUAACACUGAAUGGAGGCCCGAACCCACGCACGUUGAAAAGUGCGGGGAUGAGGUGUGGGUAGCGGAGAAAUUCCAAUCGAACCUGGAGAUAGCUGGUUCUCUCCGAAAUAGCUUUAGGGCUAGCCUCAUGUUGUGAGAGUCUUGGAGGUAGAGCACUGAUUGGACUAGGGGCCCCCAACGGGUUACCGAAUUCAGUCAAACUCCGAAUGCCAAAGACUUAUCCAUGGGAGUCAGACUGCGAGUGAUAAGAUCCGUAGUCAAAAGGGAAACAGCCCAGACCACCAGCUAAGGUCCCCAAGUAUACGUUAAGUGGAAAAGGAUGUGGAGUUGCUUAGACAACCAGGAUGUUGGCUUAGAAGCAGCCACCAUUUAAAGAGUGCGUAAUAGCUCACUGGUCGAGUGACUCUGCGCCGAAAAUGUACCGGGGCUAAACGUAUCACCGAAGCUGUGGAUUGACAUCUUAGAUGUCAGUGGUAGGAGAGCGUUCUAAGUGCUGUGAAGUCAGACCGUAAGGACUGGUGGAGCGCUUAGAAGUGAGAAUGCCGGUAUGAGUAGCGAAAGACAAGUGAGAAUCUUGUCCACCGAAUGCCUAAGGUUUCCUGAGGAAGGCUCGUCCGCUCAGGGUUAGUCGGGACCUAAGCCGAGGCUGAAAAGCGUAGGCGAUGGCCAACAGGUUGAUAUUCCUGUACCACCUCCCCGCCGUUUGAGUAAUGGGGGGACGCAGUAGGAUAGGGUAAGCGCGCUGCUGGAUAUGCGCGUUCAAGCAGUUAGGCUGAUGAGUAGGCAAAUCCGCUCAUCAUAAAGGCUGAGCUGUGAUGACGAGGGAAUUAUAGUACCGAAGUUCCUGAUUCCACACUGCCAAGAAAAGCCUCUAGCGAGGCGGGAGGUGCCCGUACCGCAAACCGACACAGGUAGGCGAGGAGAGAAUCCUAAGGUGAUCGAGAGAACUCUCGUUAAGGAACUCGGCAAAAUGACCCCGUAACUUCGGGAGAAGGGGUGCUCUGGUAGGGUGUAUAGCCCGAGAGAGCCGCAGUGAAUAGGCCCAGGCGACUGUUUAGCAAAAACACAGGUCUCUGCGAAGCCGCAAGGCGAAGUAUAGGGCUGACGCCUGCCCGGUGCUGGAAGGUUAAGAGGAGGGGUUAUCCUUUGGGAGAAGCUCUGAAUCGAAGCCCCAGUAAACGGCGGCCGUAACUAUAACGGUCCUAAGGUAGCGAAAUUCCUUGUCGGGUAAGUUCCGACCCGCACGAAAGGCGUAACGAUCUGGGCACUGUCUCAACGAGAGACUCGGUGAAAUUAUAGUACCUGUGAAGAUGCAGGUUACCCGCGACAGGACGGAAAGACCCCGUGGAGCUUUACUGUAGCCUGAUAUUGAAUUUUGGUACAGCUUGUACAGGAUAGGUAGGAGCCUGAGAAGCCGGAGCGCUAGCUUCGGUGGAGGCGUCGGUGGGAUACUACCCUGGCUGUAUUGAAAUUCUAACCCGCGGCCCUGAUCGGGCCGGGAGACAGUGUCAGGUGGGCAGUUUGACUGGGGCGGUCGCCUCCUAAAAUGUAACGGAGGCGCCCAAAGGUUCCCUCAGAAUGGUUGGAAAUCAUUCGUAGAGUGUAAAGGCACAAGGGAGCUUGACUGCGAGACCUACAAGUCGAGCAGGGACGAAAGUCGGGCUUAGUGAUCCGGUGGUUCCGCAUGGAAGGGCCAUCGCUCAACGGAUAAAAGCUACCCCGGGGAUAACAGGCUUAUCUCCCCCAAGAGUCCACAUCGACGGGGAGGUUUGGCACCUCGAUGUCGGCUCAUCGCAUCCUGGGGCUGUAGUCGGUCCCAAGGGUUGGGCUGUUCGCCCAUUAAAGCGGUACGCGAGCUGGGUUCAGAACGUCGUGAGACAGUUCGGUCCCUAUCCGUCGUGGGCGUAGGAAAUUUGAGAGGAGCUGUCCUUAGUACGAGAGGACCGGGAUGGACACACCGCUGGUGUACCAGUUGUCUUGCCAAAGGCAUCGCUGGGUAGCUAUGUGUGGACGGGAUAAGUGCUGAAAGCAUCUAAGCAUGAAGCCCCCCUCAAGAUGAGAUUUCCCAUAGCGCAAGCUAGUAAGAUCCCUGAAAGAUGAUCAGGUUGAUAGGUCAGAGGUGGAAGCGUGGCGACAUGUGUAGCUGACUGAUACUAAUCGAUCGAGGACUUAACC
rnacentral:rRNA from 1 species